GACGAACGCUGGCGGCGUGCUUAACACAUGCAAGUCGAACGGAAAGGCCUCUUUGGGGGUACUCGAGUGGCGAACGGGUGAGUAACACGUGAGUAACCUGCCCUUGACUUCGGGAUAACUUCAGGAAACUGGGGCUAAUACCGGAUAGGAAUCCUUGCUGCAUGGUGGGGGUUGGAAAGCUUCGGCGGUUUUGGAUGGACUCGCGGCUUAUCAGCUUGUUGGUGGGGUAGUGGCUUACCAAGGCUUUGACGGGUAGCCGGCCUGAGAGGGCGACCGGCCACAUUGGGACUGAGAUACGGCCCAGACGCCUACGGGAGGCAGCAGUGGGGAAUAUUGCACAAUGGGCGGAAGCCUGAUGCAGCAACGCCGCGUGCGGGAUGACGGCCUUCGGGUUGUAAACCGCUUUCAGCAGGGGCGAAGCUUGUGGUGACGGUACCUGCAGAAGAAGCACCGGCUAACUACGUG
rnacentral:rRNA from 1 species